UACGAAGGGUGCAAGCGUUACUCGGAAUUACUGGGCGUAAAGCGUGCGUAGGUGGUUGUUUAAGUCUGCUGUGAAAGCCCUGGGCUCAACCUGGGAAUUGCAGUGGAUACUGGGCGACUAGAGUGUGGUAGAGGAUAGUGGAAUUUCCGGUGUAGCAGUGAAAUGCGUAGAGAUCGGAAGGAACAUCUGUGGCGAAGGCGACUAUCUGGGCCAACACUGACACUGAGGCACGAAAGCGUGGGGAGCAAACAGG
rnacentral:ncRNA from 3 species